UGGGGGAUAUUGCACAAUGGGCGAAAGCCUGAUGCAGCGACGCCGCGUGGGGGAUGAAGGCUUUCGGGUUGUAAACCUCUUUCGCUAUCGAACAAGGCCCGCUUAGGAUGGGUUGAGGGUAGGUGGAGAAGAAGCGCCGGCUAACUACGUGCCAGCAGCCGCGGUAAUACGUAGGGCGCGAGCGUUGUCCGGAAUUAUUGGGCGUAAAGGGCUUGUAGGCGGCUUGUUGCGCCUGCUGUGAAAACGCGGGGCUUAACUUCGCGCGUGCAGUGGGUACGGGCAGGCUUGAGUGUGGUAGGGGUGACUGGAAUUCCAGGUGUAGCGGUGGAAUGCGCAGAUAUCUGGAGGAACACCGAUGGCGAAGGCAGGUCACUGGGCCAUUACUGACGCUGAGGAGCGAAAGCAUGGGUAGCGAACAGG
rnacentral:rRNA from 1 species